rnacentral:rRNA from 1 species
GAUGAACGCUGGCGGCGUGCCUAAUACAUGCAAGUCGAGCGAACAGACGAGGAGCUUGCUCCUCUGACGUUAGCGGCGGACGGGUGAGUAACACGUGGAUAACCUACCUAUAAGACUGGGAUAACUUCGGGAAACCGGAGCUAAUACCGGAUAAUAUAUUGAACCGCAUGGUUCAAUAGUGAAAGACGGUUUUGCUGUCACUUAUAGAUGGAUCCCCGCCGCAUUAGCUAGUUGGUAAGGUAACGGCUUACCAAGGCAACGAUGCGUAGCCGACCUGAGAGGGUGUGCGGCCACACUGGAACUGAGACACGGUCCGGACUCCUACGGGAGGCAGCAGUAGGGAAUCUUCCGCAAUGGGCGAAAGCCUGACGGAGCAACGCCGCGUGAGUGAUGAAGGUCUUCGGAUCGUAAAACUCUGUUAUUAGGGAAGAACAAAUGUGUAAGUAACUAUGCACGUCUUGACGGUACCUAAUCAGAAAGCCACGGCUAACUACGUG